UACGGAGGGUGCAAGCGUUAUCCGGAUUUACUGGGUUUAAAGGGUGCGUAGGUGGAUAAUUAAGUCAGUGGUGAAAUCUUCAGGCUUAACCUGGAAACUGCCAUUGAUACUAUUUAUCUUGAAUACUUUGGAGGUAAGCGGAAUAUGUCAUGUAGCGGUGAAAUGCUUAGAUAUGACAUAGAACACCAAUUGCGAAGGCAGCUUACUACACAGUAAUUGACACUGAGGCACGAAAGCGUGGGGAUCAAACAGGA
rnacentral:rRNA from 1 species